rnacentral:rRNA from 1 species
GUCUUAUUGAUUAUAAUUUUAAGUCUAAUCUGCCCAAUGAAAAUUUUAAUGGCUGCAGUAUUUUAACUGUACAAAGGUAGCAUAAUAAUUAGUCUUUUAAUUGUUGACUGGAAUGAAUGAUUGGACGAGAUAAUAGCUGUCUCUUAAUAAUUUUUAGAAUUUUAUUUUUAAGUUAAAAAGCUUAAAUAAUAUUAAAAGACGAGAAGACCCUAUAGAGUUUUAUAUUAAUAAUAAUUUAAAUUUUAGCAUUAAAAUUUUAUUUUUGUUUAAUUAAUAUUUGAUUGGGGUGAUUAAAAAAUUUAAUAAACUUUUUUUCUUUUUUAACAUAAAUAAAUGAUUAUUUGAUCCAAUUAUUUUGAUUAUAAGAUUAAAUUACCUUAGGGAUAACAGCGUAAUUUUUUUAGAGAGUUCAUAUCGAAAAAAAAGAUUGCGACCUCGAUGUUGGAUUAAAAUUAAUUUUUGGCGUAGAAGUUAAAAAAUUAGGUCUGUUCGACCUUUAAAAUUUUACAUGAUCUGAGUUUAAACCGGCGUGAGCCAGGUUGGUUUCUAUCUUUAAUAGUUUUUAAUAUUUUAGUACGAAAGGACCAAAUAUUAGUAAAAUUUACUUUAUAUUGAA